rnacentral:rRNA from 1 species
AACGAACGCUGGCGGCAUGCUUAACACAUGCAAGUCGAACGGACUUAUGGGGCUUGCUCUAUAAGUUAGUGGCAGACGGGUGCGUAACGCGUGGGAAUGUACCCUAUAGACUGGAAUAACCAUUGGAAACGAUGGCUAAUACCGGAUAAGCCCGAGAGGGGAAAGAUUUAUCGCUAUAGGAGCGGCCCGCGUUAGAUUAGGUAGUUGGGGGGGUAAAGGCCUACCAAGCCUGCAAUCUAUAGCUGGUUUGAGAGGAUGAUCAGCCACACUGGGAGUGAGGCACGGCCCAGACUCCUACGGGAGGCAGCAGUGGGGAAUAUUGGACAAUGGGCGCAAGCCUGAUCCAGCAAUGCCGCGUGAAUGAUGAAGGCCUUCGGGUUGUAAAGUUCUUUUAUGGACGACGAUAAUGACGGUAGUCCAUGAAUAAGCACCGGCUAACUUCGUGCCAGCAGCCGCCGUAAAAC